rnacentral:rRNA from 1 species
UAGGGAAUCUUCCGCAAUGGACGCAAGUCUGACGGAGCAACGCCGCGUGAGUGAAGAAGGAUUUCGGUUCGUAAAACUCUGUUGUUAGAGAAGAACAGCGCAUAGAGUAACUGUUAUGCGUGUGACGGUAUCUAACCAGAAAGCCACGGCUAACUACGUGCCAGCAGCCGCGGUAAUACGUAGGUGGCAAGCGUUGUCCGGAUUUAUUGGGCGUAAAGCGAGCGCAGGCGGUCAAUUAAGUCUGAGGUGAAAGCCCCCGGCUCAACCGGGGAGGGUCAUUGGAAGCUGGUUGAGUUUAGUGCAGAAGCGGAGGGUGGAAUUCCUUUUGUAGCGGUGAAAUGCGUUGUUCUAUGGAGGAACACCAGUGGCGAAGGCGACUCUCUGGUCUGUAACUGACGCUGGGGUUCGAAAGCGUGGGUAGCAAACAGG